rnacentral:rRNA from 1 species
UACGUAGGGGGCAAGCGUUAUCCGGAAUCAUUGGGCGUAAAGCGCGUGUAGGCGGUUCUGUAAGUCCGCUCUGAAAGCCCAGGGCUCAACCCUGGGAGGCGGGUGGAUACUACAGAACUGGAGUACGGAAGAGGAGAUUGGAAUUCCUGGUGUAGCGGUGAAAUGCGCAGAUAUCAGGAGGAACACCCAACAGCGAAGGCAGAUCUCUGGGACGUUACUGACGCUGAGACGCGAAAGCGUGGGGAGCAAACAGG